AUUGAACGCUGGCGGCAGGCCUAACACAUGCAAGUCGAGCGGAUGACGGGAGCUUGCUCCUUGAUUCAGCGGCGGACGGGUGAGUAAUGCCUAGGAAUCUGCCUGGUAGUGGGGGACAACGUUUCGAAAGGAACGCUAAUACCGCAUACGUCCUACGGGAGAAAGCAGGGGACCUUCGGGCCUUGCGCUAUCAGAUGAGCCUAGGUCGGAUUAGCUAGUAGGUGAGGUAAUGGCUCACCUAGGCGACGAUCCGUAACUGGUCUGAGAGGAUGAUCAGUCACACUGGAACUGAGACACGGUCCAGACUCGUACGGGAGGCAGCAGUGGGGAAUAUUGGACACUGGGCGAAAGCCUGAUCCAGCCAUGCCGCGUGUGUGAAGAAGGUCUUCGGAUUGUAAAGCACUUUAAGUUGGGAGGAAGGGCAGUAAGUUAAUACCUUGCUGUUUUGACGUUACCGACAGAAUAAGCACCGGCUAACUCUGUGCCAGCCGCCGCCGUAAGAC
rnacentral:rRNA from 1 species